UAGAGGAAGUAAAAGUCGUAACAAGGUCUCCGUUGGUGAACCAGCGGAGGGAUCAUUAGCGAGUUCACAGCAACUCCCAACCCGUGCAGACUUACCGCAUUUUCCCGCCAGAGAGAGCGCUGUUGUUGCCUUUCCGGUGGGCAGGUCUUUAUUGACCUGUCCGCCGGGGGUUUGCCGCAGCAUCGUUCUUGUAUGGCGGGGCACCCUUUUAUAAACCUUCUGAAAACAAAAACAGUAGCGUCUGAGCAAAUAACCACUGAAUCGUUAAAACUUUCAACAACGGAUCUCUUGGUUCUGGCAUCGAUGAAGAACGCAGCGAACUGCGAUAAGUAAUGCGAAUUGCAGAAUUCAGCGAGCCAUCGAAUCUUUGAACGCACAUUGCGCCCGCCAGCAUUCUGGCGGGCAUGCCUGUCCGAGCGUCAUUUCCUCCCUCACGCAGCAGCCCUGCGUGGUGUUGGGGCGUCCUGCCCCUCCCCCUCUUGUAGGGGCGAGGGGCAGCCCCCGAAAGCUAAUGGCGGGCCGGCAGCGGGCUCCGAGCGCAGUAAGCAGCAAUGCCCUCGCUCUGGAUUGCACGCGCCAGCGCCUUGCCUAGAAUCGCAGACGCGGUGAGAAUCGCGCCUACACCUUCUAAGGUUGACCUCGGAUCAGGUAGGACUACCCGCUGAACUUAAGCAUAUCA
rnacentral:rRNA from 1 species